GAUGAACGCUAGCUACAGGCUUAACACAUGCAAGUCGAGGGGCAGCAUUUUAGUUUGCUUGCAAACUGAAGAUGGCGACCGGCGCACGGGUGAGUAACACGUAUCCAACCUGCCGAUAACUCCGGGAUAGCCUUUCGAAAGAAAGAUUAAUACCGGAUAGUAUACGAAUAUCGCAUGAUAUUUUUAUUAAAGAAUUUCGGUUAUCGAUGGGGAUGCGUUCCAUUAGUUUGUUGGCGGGGUAACGGCCCACCAAGACUACGAUGGAUAGGGGUUCUGAGAGGAAGGUCCCCCACAUUGGAACUGAGACACGGUCCAAACUCCUACGGGAGGCAGCAGUGAGGAAUAUUGGUCAAUGGGCGCGAGCCUGAACCAGCCAAGUAGCGUGAAGGAUGAAGGCUCUAUGGGUCGUAAACUUCUUUUAUAUGGGAAUAAAGUUUUCCACGUGUGGAAUUUUGUAUGUACCAUAUGAAUAAGGAUCGGCUAACUCCGUGCCAGCAGCCGCGGUAAUACGGAGGAUCCGAGCGUUAUCCGGAUUUAUUGGGUUUAAAGGGAGCGUAGGUGGAUUGUUAAGUCAGUGUGAAAGUUGCGGCUCAACCGUAAAAUUGCAGUUGAAACUGGCAGUCUUGAGUACAGUAGAGGUGGGCGGAAUUCGUGGUGUAGCGGUGAAAUGCUUAGAUAUCACGAAGAACUCCGAUUGCGGAGGCAGCUCACUAGACUGUCACUGACACUGAUGCUCGAAAGUGUGGGUAUCAAACAGGAUUAGAUACCCUGGUAGUCCACACAGUAAACGAUGAAUACUCGCUGUUUGCGAUAUACAGUAAGCGGCCAAGCGAAAGCAUUAAGUAUUCCACCUGGGGAGUACGCCGGCAACGGUGAAACUCAAAGGAAUUGACGGGGGCCCGCACAAGCGGAGGAACAUGUGGUUUAAUUCGAUGAUACGCGAGGAACCUUACCCGGGCUUAAAUUGCAACAGAAUAUAUUGGAAACAGUAUAGCCGUAAGGCUGUUGUGAAGGUGCUGCAUGGUUGUCGUCAGCUCGUGCCGUGAGGUGUCGGCUUAAGUGCCAUAACGAGCGCAACCCUUAUCUUUAGUUACUAACAGGUUAUGCUGAGGACUCUAGAGAGACUGCCGUCGUAAGAUGUGAGGAAGGUGGGGAUGACGUCAAAUCAGCACGGCCCUUACGUCCGGGGCUACACACGUGUUACAAUGGGGGGUACAGAAGGCGGCUACCUGGUGACAGGAUGCUAAUCCCAAAAACCUCUCUCAGUUCGGAUCGAAGUCUGCAACCCGACUUCGUGAAGCUGGAUUCGCUAGUAAUCGCGCAUCAGCCAUGGCGCGGUGAAUACGUUCCCGGGCCU
rnacentral:rRNA from 1 species